GCUAACUUCCCAGAAACGUUGAGGGCACGUACUCAAAAGACGUCGCUAGUUAGUCCCAUUGGGGACGUUGUAGCAACGUGGUCAGCUGGUCUUCAGAUAACUUUUAAUAUUAUUGCACUAGAUGUAUUAUUAUUAUUAAGAUACCAUUUGAACAGCAUAUUCUUUGGGAAAUAUACAAAAAAAUUAAUCAAGCAUGUUAAAAUAAUUUAUAUAUAUAUAUAUAUAUAUAUAUAUAUAUAUAUAUAUGCGCCAUCAGUUUAAGAACAAUAAAAUAAAAUAAACAAUUUACUUAGCAAAUGGUGAUAAUGUUUGUUAAUGAAAGAGAGUACGGGACAAAAGAACAUUUAAACCUUAAACUAGCAGGGCACGUCACUUUCUGAGUGAAGUGCGCGACGUGCGCGUGCCCGUCAUUUUGUAACGGUCAACUUCCAGCGGACGGACACGGAGGAAAGGUAAGUCCUAUAAAUCUACUUUUAUUCAUAGAUUUUAACUGAUACAACGGUAAAUGCCAUCAAAGAGGAGUAGUGUUUUGUAUUUUUGUAGGUUUUCUCUUUCAAUUUAAUAAAUAAAUGCUCUGUUUGGUUAAUUAGCUCAAAAGCAGUCUCAGAGGUGGUCUAAGGUAACGUUAACUGUAAAAAUCGAAUAUAACCUUACCUGUUUUAAAUUAUUUGAAAUUUAUCACUAUAAACUAUACAGUAUUAACUUUCUAAUUAUUCAAUUUUUAACCGUAGUAACGUUAAUUAGUUUGUUUGAAUACCUGCUGCUCGAGCUUGAUGAUGCUCAUGCUAUCCAUGCUGUGAACUUGAAUAUAAUCCGAUAUAACGUUAAAUAUAAAGUUUAACGUUAAUUAGACCGAGGCUGCCGAAAUCAUGUUCAGUGUAACGUUAUGUGGGAUUAAUAAUUUCCCCUUUUCUCCCUCAAGUGGCAGGCUUGUAAAUUCUGUCAUCUGUUCAUUAUUGGUGUUAAUGGUGUUUUUCACAUGCAUGCUUUUUAAUGCUAGUUUAAUUCUCAAAUUGAUCUGAUACUUUCUUUCACAAAAAGUAAACAAAUUGUUCACUUUUUUAGGGCCUGACAACCACCAGUUGAGUCCAUGAUUCAGUUCCUUAUAAGGAAAUAUAUUUGUUACCACCUAGUAAUUUAAAUGUAUUAUUUAUUGCUUUAAAAUGAACACAUAUAUUUAUCAUCAGGGGAAGAGACAGUCUGGGCAGCAGCAACAAGACAACUAUUACAAGUAGAGAUGGGUUUCAAGAACUGGUACUAAUUUGGUUCCUGACUUGUUCAGCACUGAAAACAUUUACAUAAGGUACAGGAUCAAUAGUGCUGCUAUCAGUAUUCUUGUAACAUUGAUUCAUUACCCUUUAGACACAACCACAUAUCCUCCAAAUCAUCUCCGAGUGGAUGGCAGCAAGGAUCCAGGAUCAAGAGAUCAUUCUUCAUGGAGACUGUUCCACAGGAAACAGUUUCUCCUGGGUGAAAUACUAAACCUGGUUGUUUCAGCAUCACUCAGGCAAGACUAAAUACUUUUAAAUUGAUUUCAGUUGGUUGUGUUUCAGGUCAUCCUGACCAUUGUGCUGUCCAGGAUGUAAGGCCGUGCUGGAACUACAUUUCUCGUGGUUGAAAGAUUUGUGCAGCGGUAUCCAGACAUAUAACGCCCCAUCACACGGGGCGUCAACGCCUCUCGUUUACUUUUAAAUGAAGUGACGUCAAGCAUGGUGAAAUUAAUUCUAGAAAUUAAUUCUAAAUAGAAGUUGAAGACUUUUCAAGCGCCAAUGCAGCCCUCCUCCAGUCAGAACAUCUUAUGCAAAUACCCAAGCGCAGACGCAAGCCAAUCGAGUGCAUGCAAUACCAGAAAACUAAUGUGAUUGGCUGUCACUAUGAGAAGAGACAAUUUGAGGGAAAGAUUAAAAACAAGGAGGUCUGGGAAUGACUGAAGGGAUCUGACAGCAGUGCGGGAAGGAAGUAAUCACCAGAAUCUCAGAGGAUGUUGACAGUGCAGGCCCAGGAUGAAGAAGAGGAGGAAGAACACGUUUAACAAUUUUCUCAUAAGCUUGCCAUGUGUUAUAAUAAAAACAAUGAACAUGGCUACAAUAAUAUGCUAAAUGUUAUUAAAAGAUUCCAGUUUGCAAGAAAUCUGAGUGUCUGACUCUACACUAGAGGAACUCUUUUCUGAAGAAGAUCAGGUGCUGAGAGAUCCUUGUUCUACAGCAAAACACUGCAUCAAGCCUCCUGUCCUUCCCUCAGAAGAGCCUGUCUUCUGCUGCUGGGGUAAGAAACACACUCUUCCUCUUCUCUAUCAGCUGUCCUGCACCUAACUCUGCCUCCUCAGCACUGUCUGAAAGAGUCUUCUCCACAGUCAGUAAUCAGAGAUCACAGAUUCUUCUGAGAAAGUCGAUAUGUUCAUUUUCUGAAAAAACUUUGUUUUUUCGGGUGGGACAAAUAAUACAGGAGAGAUGCUAGAAAUCUCUAUAUUGUUCAUUUUUCAUAUCUUUACGCUUUAUGAAUGUUUUUCUUCUGAGAAGCUCAAAAAUUAUGGUUCUUUGCUUUAUUGUUUAGGUUUAUCCUCUGAUAGUGAGCACAGAGCCCUGAUCAUGACAUGCAAGAAAAAGAAAGAAAUCAUGUCCAUGAUUUACUAAUUUGUUCCCUCGAUGUACUAAAACGUGCACGAUUACUUUUACAUUUCAUUGAUUUGCUAAAUCGUAUGCACAAUUUACUAAUUUGUUCUCUUGAUGUAUAAAUAGUGUACACGUUUUAGCAAAUCGAGGGAAUGAAAUAGAAAAUCGUGCGCAUGAAUUAGCCAAAUAUUCUUCCUGCAUGUCGUGUAAUUAAAGCACAUCACCACCAGACAUUUAUAACAGGAGCCUCAUACGACGCUCACAGUUUUACUUUGUGCAGUAUCUCUGUGCAGUAUCUGCUGAAUUGUUUCAUAUCUAUAUAUCAUGUAUUUUUUGUUGCACUAAAUUAUGUUGUAUCAAUAAGUUUACUGAUAAUUAUUUAUAAUUUUCACUGAUAACAUGAUUAACCAUCUCCCCAUCCUUAAGACAAACAUUUUCUGUUGUUCAUAUUGUGUAAUCUAUGAAUUGAUGUGUUUAGUUUUCUGUGCUCAUAACUUAGUAACAUUUUGCAUGGUUAAAGAACAGGUGCAAUGUUCAAAAUGUUUUGGCUUCGUAUUUUUAGAAAGUAGUGCUGAAUAAAUAUUGAUUUGUGAAUGAA